GGCCCGAUGGCGCAAUGGUAGCGCGUCAGAUUCCAGUCGAAUCUUGGAAAUACCUGAAGGUUGGGUGUUCAAAUCACUCUCGGGUCA